rnacentral:rRNA from 1 species
AGUGAACGCUGGCGGUAGGCCUAACACAUGCAAGUCGAACGGCAGCACAGUAAGAGCUUGCUAUUACGGGUGGCGAGUGGCGGACGGGUGAGGAAUACAUCGGAAUCUACUUUUUCGUGGGGGGUAACGUAGGGAAACUUACGCUAAUACCGCAUACGACCUACGGGUGAAAGCAGGGGAUCUUCGGACCUUGCGCGGUUGAAUGAGCCGAUGUCGGAUUAGCUAGUUGACGGGGUAAAGGCCCACCAAGGCGACGAUCCGUAGCUGGUCUGAGAGGAUGAUCAGCCACACUGGAACUGAGACACGGUCCAGACUCCUACGGGACGCAGCAGUGGGGAAUGUUGGACUGUGGGCGCAAGCCUGAUCCAGCCAUGCCGCGUGGGUGAAGAAGGCCCUCGGGUUGUAAAGCCCUUUUGUUGGGAAAGAAAAGCAGCAGGUUAAUACCCCGCUGUUCUGACGGUACCCAAAGAAUAAGCACCGGCUAACUUCGU